UUUAGCGUCCAGCUGGGUACUAAAACAACAACAACACAUGGAACCCGGUGGUCGGGUUUCCUCAAACUACACGUUAACCUUACCUCCGUGUUAGCCAUGUUUGUCGCCGAUGGAUGUCUAUAGUGGGUUUGUCAGAGGUAAUGCUUUAGCUGAGUGGAUGUUGAAUACUGACAAAACACAACACCGAAGCUUCUGGUCGUGAAGCACGAGCGAGGCAAUUUAUACUAAAGCUGUGUGUAUCACUUUAAAAGACGUCACCGAAGACGUUCGACGCUUCACUAAGGAAGGAAUAACGGCGGGGAAAAGGAAAACUACCGUCGUGCUCACCGUGCUCACCCCUCAACCAAAGAUCUCCUAAGAGAACACAACAAACAUAAGCCUCACACUACCAGGGUGUAAGUUGGUUUGUCAACUGCUAAAAAAAACAUAAAGAAGAAGAAGACAAGAGGAAGAACCGCUCAAACAGUCGCGAUUUGUUUCAGCAUUGGUAAAAUUCAGCUGGAAACAUCACAUUAAAAAAUGACUGAAAUGAAUGGACCAAUGGACAAAGUUGUCAAGGUACAGAUUUUCUCCUGUGUCUACUGAUUUGUGGUUUGACAAUUUAAUUCUGUAAUACAUUUCUAAGGAUUGGCUCCAGCACCCAGAAACACCCUGGUAAAACAGAAGAGGAGCCACAUGCAACCCAUUCUUUCGAGUGGUGUUGGGGUGACAAGAAACCUACAACUUGGGCCUGCAAUAAAGCAGGAACUAUUGAGGACGUACUGAAGAGAAGUCAAAAGUUUAAAGACAUU